GGAAUUUUGGGCAAUGGGCGAAAGCCUGACCCAGCAACGCCGCGUGAAGGAUGAAAUCCCUCGGGAUGUAAACUUCGCAAGAACGGGAAGAAUCAGUAAGGGUUAAUAUCUCUUACGAUGACGGAACUGUUUGUAAGCUCCGGCUAACUCCGUGCCAUCAGCCGCGGUACUACGGGGGGAGCAAGCGUUGUUCGGAUUUCCGGGGCGUAAAGGGCGCGUAGGCGGCCACCGCAAGUCGACUGUGAAAUCUCCGGGCUUAACUCGGAAAGGUCAGCCGAUACUGCGGGGCUAGAGUGCAGAAGGGGCAACUGGAAUUCUCGGUGUAGCGGUGAAAUGCGUAGAUAUCGAGAGGAACACCUGCGGCGAAGGCGGGUUGCUGGGCUGACACUGACGCUGAGGCGCGAAAGCUAGGGGAGCGAA
rnacentral:rRNA from 1 species